GGCAAAGAGGAAGGCGCAGAUGUUGCUAAAAUUGCUUCGGGACUCGUGGCCUGAGGAAUCCUCGGGGAAUUCCGAUGAUUUUGUUUGCAGUGAGGUCGUACCAUUUUGAUGGGUAGAUCAUCCUUGUUGAUGCUCUCUUCUUUUCUUUUUCUUUUUUCUUUUUAAUUUUUCUAAUUUUUAGUUUUUAAAAAAAAGUAGAAAAAUGGAAAUUGAGUUCUAGAUCGGUACAUAGGGAGAGGGACAGAUUGUAAUUCUGUAUGUAAUUUUUUAUGUAAGAAUUUUUGCGAAGAAAGAUUUUAAGGAAACUUGAAAAGCAAACGAAAAGUUAGUUAUGUUGUUAUAUUUUUCCCUAAUUUUUUUUUUCUGUUAUUUUUUUUUUUUGCCUACUCUAUGCAGAGCUAGUUUUACAUGCAGAUUGGCAAUAGUUUGGUGACGGAUGGCUUAUAGAACCUUUCCUUCAAAUGCUAAACUAUUUGAUUUUUUUUUUAUAGUAUUGAUUUUAAUAGGGAUUUGAUUAUUUUUUUUUAUAUGAUUUUCAACUAAUUAACUCAAAUUUGGAAAUUCCAUUCUCAAUUCUCACUUAAAAAUUGAAAUUUGGGCCUUUCAAGCAAAGCAGCUAACUAAUCAGUUGAAACUAGGCAAGUUUCUUCUUAUAUUUGGAGAGUGAGGGAUUCAGAAUUCAAUUAUUCUCAUUUAAAGGAGAAUAAUUCACUUCAUUAUUAUAGAUGCAAAGUAUGCAACUGAGCACUAGUUAAAAUACAUUGAGUUAUAGCGAAGGCUGAGCCACUAGAAUGGUAACAAUGGGUGGCUAGUGAUAGGGUCGAGUAGGAAUGGAUGGGCCUGUUUGAGUCAGACAAAAACAAUACUGAUAAAUGGUGAAGAAUAAAAAGAAGAGCAAAGGUGCAGAUUCCUCAAACCUCACAAAUCACAAUCGAAGGUUGGGAGGUUGUGCCCUAGAGUCCAGACCAUUUCUGUUUGUGCAGUUUGUGUAUCCCUCACUGUGAUAAGAUCCUCUAGCUGCAGUCUAAAGCAAGAAUGUGUCAUCAUGAAAUUAUUCAUCAUCAUCAUCAUUAUCAUCAACCUCUUCUCUUUCAUGUAAGAACUAAGUAGCAAUUAUGUGUGUAUGCAUAUGUGCAAAGGGACUGUGCUACUUGUGUUUGACUCAAACAUUGUCAUAUAUUCUGCCUGCCUGCUGCUAAU
rnacentral:misc_RNA from 1 species